GUGCCUUUGAAGAGGAGAGAACCAUUGCAACCUUGAAAAUGAUGGAAUACUUUAAGGAUAGAAAAGAUACCUAUAUCAAAUAUCUCUAUGAACUUUU